UUCAGAAACCCAUCACUCUCUCUAUCGAACUCAUCUUUCUUCUUCUCUCCCUCAGCAGUUCGAUCACUUCAACCCUAGAAACCUUUGUCCUCUCCGUUCUUCUCUCUGUCGAACUCAUAAACUGUCUUUUCUCAGUCAAACUCACCUGAACCCUAGAAACUACCUUCUCUCCAUCGUUUCCCUCCUUUGAACCCUAAAACAAAAAUCAAUUGAACCCAGAACUCAUAAAUCCUAAAAAUAGCAACACAGUACUCAAAUUUUCAUCCACUCUGUUUUGGUUAUCAACAGCUACGCCUCCCUUCCCCCUCACUGCGAACAAUUAUACGAAACAGGUCAUUCCUUUGAUCAAUUUAUUUCUGCUUUCUUUUCUGUUCAUUCUUGUUUUCACUUUUCAAUUUUACCUGAGUUGUAGAAAUUUGAUGUUGAGCCCUAUGUUCAAUUGCAGAUUUCUUUGAAUUUUUUAGCUCUGACUACUGCAGGAUGCCUCUUCUUCCUCCACUUUUGCUCUUUGUUGUAUGUUACUACUAGAGCUGUCAAAAAGGGUCGGGCUAUCGGGCCGGCCCAUUAGCCCUAUCAUUUUACACGGGCCGAGCUUCAUAAAAAGGGGGCCGGGCCUUAUUGGGUCAGGCUUUUCAUGGGCCGUCAUGGGCCGGCCCACAAGCUUUUGGGCCGGCCCCUUAAAUAAUUAAAAAAAAUUAUAAUCUUUUUAUUGUUAUAUUUUGGUCCUAUUUUUAUGCAUAAAUUCAUAUAUAAUUUUUUAUUAUUAUUUUUGUUGUUUUAUUGUUAUUAUUUGUGUUUUGUUCCUAUCUAUAAUCUGUUUUAUUCCUAUUUUUAAGCAGAUCAUCUUUUUAUAUUGGCUAAAUUGCAGUUUUGGCCCCCCACGUUUCAUAAUUGUGCGAUUUUGGCCCCCCACGUUUCAAAUGUGCGAUUUUGGUCCCCCACGUUUGCCCCCUUUUGCAUUUCUUGGUCCCCGUUGACUAUUUUGACCAAAAAAUUGAUGACAUGGAAUAUUUUUUACACGUGUCUUAAUUGUAUUGGCCAACCAAAAUUUAUUAAAAAAUAUUCCAUGUCAUCAAUUUUUUUGUCAAAAUAGUCAACGGGACCAAGAAAUGCAAAAGGGGGCAAACGUGGGGAUCAAAAUCGCACAUUUGAAACGUGGGGGGCCAAAAGCGCACAAUUAUGAAACGUGGGAGGCCAAAAUCGCACAUUUGAAACAUGGGGGGCCAAAAUCGCACAAUUAUGAAACGUGGGGGGCCAAAACUGCAAUUUAGCCUUUUAUAUUUUUUUUAUAUUCUUUCUAUAUUUUUAUUUUUACUUAAAUUACAAUGGAUGAAUGAAAGAUAUAAAACUUGGAAUUUUUUUUGGUAGUAAUAAUAAUAAUAUGACGAAAAACUUAUUGGAUUAGAAUGAGAUUAUUUGUUAGAGAUUUGUUUGUUUGUUUGAUGAGGAUAAAGAGGAAGAUAUUGUUGUUUGGGAGAUUAUGUGAGAAAAUAUAGGGAUACGAAUUACCUUCUUGAAGAUUUAGUUGAGAAAUAUAACAUAAAAUUAGUAGAAUAUUUUUUUUUUCAAAAAAAAAAUACUAUGAAAAUUAGUGGGCCGGCCCAUCGGGCCAUGUAGGCUUUUGCUUAUCGGGUCGGGCUAAUCGGGCCGGCCCCUUUAUUUGACCGGGCCCCUGCAGGCCGGGCCAGGCCGGACCGGACCGGCCCCUUUGACAGCUCUAGUUACUACAAUUAAUUUAGGGUUUUAGGUGAUUGGUUUGUGUUUGUGGUUUGUUACUACAAUUAAUUUAGGGUUUAAAGCGAUUGUUUUGUAUUUGUGGUUUGUUAUUUUUCAUAUUUGGACUAGUGAACCUAUUAUGCCCAUCAUGUGUAUUGAACUUCAUAUUUACAAAGAAUAUAUUUGAUAUAUAUUAGAAUUAGAACUUUAGAAAAAGAUGCUUUGAAAUCAAAUUAAAGGGAGGAUAAGACCAUGCCUACCAUUUAGUCAAAAAAAAAAAAUAGACUAUGCCUACAAUGUUUGAUUUCUUAUCAUGCUUUAGAAGUUGUGAAUUUGGCAAACAAAAUCUUCAAGCUGUGAUGCUUAGUGUUUUAGCUACUGCUGUUCUAUAUUUUUGUGUUGCUACAAUUUUUUGAUGUGUAGCUACUGCCUGUGUUUUUUUUGCUAUUCGGACUGCAUUAGAGUUUUGUAUUGGAUUUGUUUUUGUAGCUUUAGAGAGGGGUACUUUGUUUGGAUGUAGCUAGCUUUUUUUAGUGUGCCUUCUGUUUUNNNNNNNNNNNNNNNNNNNNNNNNNNNNNNNNNNNNNAUCUUGGGCAUUUGGUGCUAGAAAUGUUGUAUCUUUGGCUGGUUUUUGGUGCCUUACAAUUUAGGUGUGUGGUUGGUGUUUGUGGUAUGUAUUGAGAAUGGGUAGUUUUGGUUGGUUUGUGGUUGCCAUAUAUUACAGCUGUGUUGACAUCGCUACUAGGAUGUCGUCCUUUAUGAUUAGGUAUGGUAACUAGCAGCUUUCUCAAUUUUGUUGUUCUUGUUGUUGUUCGUCGAAGAGGCCUGCUAUUACUUUCUUUUUGGGUGUUUUUUUGAUCCCUGUAUAUGCUUCUUCCGGUGCCUGCUGGUCGUUACUAUGUGUGUUUUAUUGGCCUUGCAGUGCUUCUGUUUUGAGGCACAGUGUAUUUUGUGCUUUGUGAAUUUGAGAAUAAGCUUUGUUAAUCAAAUAUAUAGAAGUAUACAUCUUUUAGUUUUAUGUGAAACUGUAUUGGUGUGUGUGUGUUUCUAGAUUCUUUCUUUGAUAUAAACUGUGAUUCUUCUAUAGAAAAUCAAAAGAUAGUUNNNNNNNNNNNNNNNNNNNNNNNNNNACAGGUACAAUGUAAGAAACAAGAUGGUGGCAGGUCUUGUCUUCUCUACUUUUCUUCUGUUUUGUGGUUUGCAAGUGUUAUUUAUUUACUUCAUCUUACAUUUGGCUUCAGGUAUAUCUUUGCUACUCUCAAGGUAAAAUCCCCUUCUUUAGAUUCAUAAUCAACCGGUUCUGUUAUCAUUUGCAUUCUACCAUGGUUGCUGCAAUAGUAACCUCAUUCUAUUAUUACAGUCAUGAAGUGUAACAACCCGACUUUAAUUAAAAUAAGUAAUAUUAAUUAGAAAUGGUGAUUGAAGUUACUCGAAGAAUUAUUGCUCAAAGUAUGAGAUAGUUCAAAGGCAUAAACAUGUUUUAGUAAUAAGUUGGAGGGUAAAGUGGACAAGUAUCAUUACUAGUAAGACUAGUAUUACAGGUAUGUAUUGGGAGGAAGCAAACAUCAGUAUAGUGAAGACCCAUUCCCUUCUUUCUUCUCUGUCCGUUCAUUCCCUUUCUUAACUCCACCCCNNNNNNNNNNNNNCAGUUUCAUGUGCUCUCAUGGCCAAAGGGUUGCAUGUGUUGGAAACAAUCUUAAUCUGCUGGUUUUGAGUAUUAAAAGCUAAGGUAAAAUUAGUAAUUUCAAUUCCACUCUCUUUCCCUCUUUUUAUGAACCCUAAACUCACCCUUAAAGCCUUCACUCAUUUGGGGUCAAUUGCAUGUACACAUACUCUGUAAAUUGGGGUAAUUGAAAGUGCUAGGGAACUGAUAUUGAAAUGGAGAAAAGAAUUGAAGGUCGGAGCUUGGAAGGACUGUUGAUGGAACAAGAAAACAAGAGGAAUUGCUUAAGUUGUGUAAAAUCCGUAUUUGGGACAGGGCUCCACUCAAACGGUAAUAAAUCUCUCUCUGUAACUCUGAACUUAGUGUGGUUUGUUUCUAUGGAUAGAUAACGAAAUUAUCUUCGUCUGGGUGUUGAUUUGGUGGAAUUCAGAGUUAUAUUGAGCUCUAGGCAUGAUUUCGAAGUGGAGGGUCUGAAGCUGAGUUUGUGCAGGAAUAUGGACUGUUCGNNNNNNN
rnacentral:lncRNA from 1 species